UACGAAGGGGGCUAGCGUUGUUCGGAAUUACUGGGCGUAAAGCGCGCGCAGGCGGUCUUCCAAGUCAGUGGUGAAAGCCCGGAGCUCAGCUCCGGAACUGCCAUUGAAACUGUAAGACUUGAGGACGAGAGAGGUGAGUGGAAUUCCCAGUGUAGAGGUGAAAUUCGUAGAUAUUGGGAAGAACACCGGUGGCGAAGGCGGCUCACUGGCUCGUUUCUGACGCUCAGGCGCGACAGCGUGGGGAUCAAACAGG
rnacentral:rRNA from 1 species